AGAUUGAACGCUGGCGGCAUGCCUUACACAUGCAAGUCGAACGGCAGCACGGGAGCAAUCCUGGUGGCGAGUGGCGAACGGGUGAGUAAUAUAUCGGAACGUGCCCAGUAAUGGGGGGAUAGCCCGGCGAAAGCCGGAUUAAUACCGCAUACGACCUACGGGUGAAAGCGGGGGAUCGCAAGACCUCGCGUUAUUGGAGCGGCCGAUAUCAGAUUAGCUUGUUGGCGGGUAAAAGCCCACCAAGGCAACGAUCUGUAGCUGGUCUGAGAGGACGACCAGCCACACUGGGACUGAGACACGGCCCAGACUCCGUACGGGAGGCAGCAGGUGGGAAUUUUGGACAAUGGGCGCAAGCCUGAUCCAGCCAGUGCCGCGGUCGUAGGGAAGGAACGGUCCGUUCGGUUAGUAAACCGUAC
rnacentral:rRNA from 1 species